UACGAAGGGGGCUAGCGUUGUUCGGAAUUACUGGGCGUAAAGCGCGCGCAGGCGGUCCUUUAAGUCAGGGGUGAAAGCCCAGAGCUCAACUCUGGAACGGCCUUUGAAACUAGAGGACUUGGGUACGGGAGAGGUGAGUGGAAUUCCGAGUGUAGAGGUGAAAUUCGUAGAUAUUCGGAAGAACACCAGUGGCGAAGGCGGCUCACUGGCCCGUUACCGACGCUCAGGCGCGACAGCGUGGGGAGCAAACCGG
rnacentral:rRNA from 1 species